UCUUAGUGGCGGACGGGUGAGUAACGCGUGGGUAACCUGCCUUACACAGGGGGAUAACACCUGGAAACAGGUGCUAAUACCGCAUAAGCGCACAGGGCCGCAUGGCCCGGUGUGAAAAACUCCGGUGGUGUAAGAUGGACCCGCGUCUGAUUAGCUUGUUGGCGGGGUAGGGGCCCACCAAGGCGACGAUCAGUAGCCGGCCUGAGAGGGUGGACGGCCACAUUGGGACUGAGACACGGCCCAAACUCCUACGGAAGGCAGCAG
rnacentral:rRNA from 1 species